UGGGGAAUUUUGCGCAAUGGGGGAAACCCUGACGCAGCAACGCCGCGUGCGGGACGACGGCCCUCGGGUUGUAAACCGCUUUCAGUGGGGACGAUGGUGACGGUACCCACAGAAGAAGCUCCGGCUAACUACGUGCC
rnacentral:rRNA from 1 species